rnacentral:rRNA from 1 species
UGCUUACACAUGCAAGUCGAACGGAAAGGCCCUGCUUUUGUGGGGUGCUCGAGUGGCGAACGGGUGAGUAACACGUGCGUAACCUGCCCUUGACUUUGGGAUAACUUCAGGAAACUGGGGCUAAUACCGGAUAGGAGCUCCUGCUGCAUGGUGGGGGUUGGAAAGUUUCGGCGGUUGGGGAUGGACUCGCGGCUUAUCAGCUUGUUGGUGGGGUAGUGGCUUACCAAGGCUUUGACGGGUAGCCGGCCUGAGAGGGUGACCGGCCACAUUGGGACUGAGAUACGGCCCAGACUCCUACGGGAGGCAGCAGUGGGGAAUAUUGCACAAUGGGCGGAAGCCUGAUGCAGCAACGCCGCGUGCGGGAUGACGGCCUUCGGGUUGUAAACCGCUUUCGCCUGUGACGAAGCGUGAGUGACGGUAAUGGGUAAAGAAGCACCGGCUAACUACGUGCCAGCAGCCGCGGUGAUACGUAGGGUGCGAGCGUUGUCCGGAUUUAUUGGGCGUAAAGGGCUCGUAGGUGGUUGAUCGCGUCGGAAGUGUAAUCUUGGGGCUUAACCCUGAGCGUGCUUUCGAUACGGGUUGACUUGAGGAAGGUAGGGGAGAAUGGAAUUCCUGGUGGAGCGGUGGAAUGCGCAGAUAUCAGGAGGAACACCAGUGGCGAAGGCGGUUCUCUGGGCCUUUCCUGACGCUGAGGAGCGAAAGCGUGGGGAGCGAACAGGCUUAGAUACCCUGGUAGUCCACGCUGUAAACGGUGGGUACUAGGUGUGGGGUCCAUUCCACGGGUUCCGUGCCGUAGCUAACGCUUUAAGUACCCCGCCUGGGGAGUACGGCCGCAAGGCUAAAACUCAAAGGAAUUGACGGGGCCCCGCACAAGCGGCGGAGCAUGCGGAUUAAUUCGAUGCAACGCGUAGAACCUUACCUGGGUUUGACAUGGAUCGGGAGUGCUCAGAGAUGGGUGUGCCUCUUUUGGGGUCGGUUCACAGGUGGUGCAUGGCUGUCGUCAGCUCGUGUCGUGAGAUGUUGGGUUAAGUCCCGCAACGAGCGCAACCCUUGUUCACUGUUGCCAGCACGUUAUGGUGGGGACUCAGUGGAGACCGCCGGGGUCAACUCGGAGGAAGGUGGGGAUGACGUCAAGUCAUCAUGCCCCUUAUGUCCAGGGCUUCACGCAUGCUACAAUGGCUGGUACAGAGAGUGGCGAGCCUGUGAGGGUGAGCGAAUCUCGGAAAGCCGGUCUCAGUUCGGAUUGGGGUCUGCAACUCGACCUCAUGAAGUCGGAGUCGCUAGUAAUCGCAGAUCAGCAACGCUGCGGUGAAUACGUUCCCGGGGCUUGUACACACCGCCCGUCAAGUCAUGAAAGUUGGUAACACCCGAAGCCGGUGGCCUAACCGAUGUGGGGGAGCCGUCGAAGGUGGGACUGGUGAUUA